GAUGAACGCUGGCGGCGUGCCUAAUACAUGCAAGUCGAGCGAACAGACGAGGAGCUUGCUCCUCUGACGUUAGCGGCGGACGGGUGAGUAACACGUGGAUAACCUACCUAUAAGACUGGGAUAACUUCGGGAAACCGGAGCUAAUACCGGAUAAUAUAUUGAACCGCAUGGUUCAAUAGUGAAAGACGGUUUUGCUGUCACUUAUAGAUGGAUCCGCGCCGCAUUAGCUAGUUGGUAAGGUAACGGCUUACCAAGGCGACGAUGCGUAGCCGACCUGAGAGGGUGAUCGGCCACACUGGACCUGAGACACGGCCCAGACUCCUACGGGAGGCAGCAGUAGGGAAUCUUCCGCAAUGGGCGAAAGCCUGAAGGAGAAACGCGGCGUGAGUGAUGAAGGUCUUCGGAUCGUAAACCUCGGUUAUUAGGGAAGAACAAAUGUGUAAGUAACUAUGCAGGUCUUGACGGUACCUAAUCAGAAAGCCACGGCUAACUACGU
rnacentral:rRNA from 1 species